CAGCAGUCUCCGUUCCUCAGAUAAGGAAGUGGUGGACUUCCUGGCAUCUUGGCGUGUUAUUGGUCUAAAGCCAUAUGGGUUGAAGGUCACUCUAGUGGAUCACACAUCCUUCCUUCCUGGUCGUCCACAACCUGUUUGCCAACUGUACCAGCCAGUUUACUUCCACCGUGAUGUAUUCUUCUGACGUCAAUGGAUGGCAGAGGAACUACAUGAAGAAAUUCCUGACUGUGGCACAAAGAGCAGUGGACAUGGUUGGAGACUGAAGCUGGUUAUAAAAUGCAAUAGCACUGGCGCUGGCUCCAUUCAGUCUAGGUAUGGUUCCAAACAAAUCAUGCUAGUUACAGACAUUCUCUUUAAAACAUAAAGCUGACAGACACCAAUAAACAAUAUGAAAGGCCUACUGUCACUUCCUCAUAGAGGCAGCUUCAGAAAACAACUGUUCAAUCUGAGCUAAUAUGUAAAUGACAUGCUGAGUGCUAAACACACCCGACAGCUAUAGAGUGAGAAGAAAGAAGCCUGUUCGCCUCUGUACGUGUUAAUACAGAGUGACAGACAGAAAUGGGCCAAAGGCAGUGGGAAGUGGACUCCCAGUGAAGGGGAAAUCCUCUCUGUGGGUCUCACACACACACACACACACACACACACACACACACAGCAUGUGAGCGUGACACUUUAUUGAAGCUGACCAAGCCCUCUACACAAUCCCCAGCCCCUGAUGUCUGUUGUAAACACACACUCACAGAUACAGAAGCAGGACAGCAGAGAGGCGAUGCAGAGCAGAGCCAGAGUGAUGGAGCUGCUGAUAACACUGGAGCCACCAU